rnacentral:rRNA from 1 species
UGCGUAGGCGGGUCUUUAAGUCAGGGGUGAAAUCCUGGAGCUCAACUCCAGAACUGCCUUUGAUACUGAAGAUCUUGAGUUCGGGAGAGGUGAGUGGAACUGCGAGUGUAGAGGUGAAAUUCGUAGAUAUUCGCAAGAACACCAGUGGCGAAGGCGGCUCACUGGCCCGAUACUGACGCUGAGGCAAAGACUGGGGAGCAAACA